rnacentral:rRNA from 1 species
UACGGAGGGUGCAAGCGUUAAUCGGAAUUACUGGGCGUAAAGCGCACGCAGGUGGCUGAGCAAGUCGGAUGUGAAAGCCCUGGGCUUAACCUGGGAAUUGCAUUCGAAACUAUUCAGCUAGAGUAUGGGAGAGGGUAGUGGAAUUCCCGGUGUAGCGGUGAAAUGCGUAGAUAUCGGGAGGAACAUCAGUGGCGAAGGCGGCUACCUGGCCCAAUACUGACAUUCAGGUGCGACAGCGUGGGGAGCAAAC